UACGGGGGGGGCAAGCGUUGUUCGGAUUUAUUGGGCGUAAAGAGCUCGUAGGCGGUUGGGUAAGUCGGGUGUGAAAACUCCAGGCUCAACUUGGAGAUGCCACCCGAUACUGCUCUGACUUGAGUUCGGUAGGGGAGUGGGGAAUUCCUGGUGUAGCGGUGAAAUGCGCAGAUAUCAGGAGGAACACCGGUGGCGAAGGCGCCACUCUGGGCCGAAACUGACGCUGAGGAGCGAAAGCGUGGGUAGCAAACAGG
rnacentral:rRNA from 1 species